CGCCCCCUCCGGGUCGGAACUGCGGGGCGUCUGGCAGGGGAGGGGUCGUCGAGCCCAUUCGUCCGGUCUCCCUCCGCCCCGCUUUCCCUACACCCCCAGCCAGCGGUUCGUGCCGCAUCCUGCGCACCCCCUGCCGUGUUUGGUGCAGCGGAGCGAAGGGCGGGACGCCUCUUUGCAAUUUGAUGCGCGCGCAAGGCGGUGGGACUCCGAGGAGGUCCGAGAGGAGGGGAGGCCGGCCACCCGGGCCCCGAGCCUGGAAAGGCAAGUGGGGGUGCAUGGGGCGGGGUGGGUCCACACUCUCGACCAGCUUACACCCGCGCCCAGUCCCAGGCAGCCCAGCGAAGAGGCGGAGGCGGCUACAGGGUCGAAGCCGGUUCCUGAGAGAGGUUGGCGAUUUCAGGUGGCGGGGUGCAUCUGCUGCGGAGCUGCUUGAGAAAAAGUUGGAGCAGGAAAAUAGCCUGGAUUUCUGGAGGCUUACUUUAAGACUGGUCACUUCUGCAAGGAAGGAAAGGAGGAAGAGACUGGCUCAAUUCUCUGGAGGUUGGUGUGAAGGGGGAAAUGCAGGGGAUAGCGACAGAGUAAGAUCAUGGCAGGUCUUUGAUUCACCUCUCCUGCUCUCUGCCAGAUUUGCACACUGUCCCAGCAUUCCUUGUCCAUUUCCUGCAGGAGAUAUUACGAAUAUUGGGGUAGGUGCGAAUUGGGCUGUGAAUCGGAGGAGAAGACCUGAGAUCAGGGACCAGGAGACAGGAAACGUUAGACAAAUUGGACCCUUAAACAGAAAGAGAGAUAUUUGCAUCAGGGGUCAGGGUGUCUGCCUGUCAACCAAACCCUCAGACUCCAUUUUUUCCUGUGCGUUUGCUUGUCCAUGGAACACCCUUCUGCUCUAGGGUGUAAUUGGUACCCCUGGAAUGAAGCACGGAGUGGGAAAUUGCACCACAUCAGAGAAGGUUGGUAUGAGAUGGGUAAACUUCGGGUCGGAUAGUGGAGACCAGUGCAGUCACAACAGUAAUUAGGGUCUAGUUUCAGGACUCCUCAACCUCUCUCAUUGCCAACAUACUUUCCCACAAAUCUCACACCUGUUUGGUGGCAGGCCAAAUAGUGUGGCAGUUGUGGGCAAAAUGAAUGUGACAGAGAGACUUUCUAAUGGCCCAACAGCUCCACCAGGAAUUCAAGGUCCAGUCUCUGUGUGAGUC
rnacentral:lncRNA from 1 species